CAAAAGGCCCUUUUUAGGGCCGCCCACCUUGUCACUUAAAAGGAGU
rfam:Monodelphis domestica chromosome 2, whole genome shotgun sequence.